UAAGGACCAGUCAUAUAUGCUUCAGACUC
rnacentral:piRNA from 1 species